AGAGUUUGAUCCUGGCUCAGAUUGAACGCUAGCGGGAUGCUUUACACAUGCAAGUCGAACGGCAGCACGAGAGAGCUUGCUCUCUUGGUGGCGAGUGGCGGACGGGUGAGUAAUAUAUCGGAACGUGCCCAGUAGCGGGGGAUAACUACUCGAAAGAGUGGCUAAUACCGCAUACGCCCUACGGGGGAAAGGGGGGGAUCGCAAGACCUCUCACUAUUGGAGCGGCCGAUAUCGGAUUAGCUAGUUGGUGGGGUAAAGGCUCACCAAGGCAACGAUCCGUAGCUGGUUUGAGAGGACGACCAGCCACACUGGGACUGAGACACGGCCCAGACUCCUACGGGAGGCAGCAGUGGGGAAUUUUGGACAAUGGGGGAAACCCUGAUCCAGCCACCCCGCGUGUAUGGUGAAGGCCUUCGGGUUGUAAAGUACUUUUGGCAGAGAAGAAAAGGCAUCCCCUAAUACGGGAUGCUGCUGACGGUAUCUGCAGAAUAAGCACCGGCUAACUACGUGCCAGCAGCCGCGGUAAUACGUAGGGUGCAAGCGUUAAUCGGAAUUACUGGGCGUAAAGUGUGUGUAGGCGGUUCGGAAAGAAAGAUGUGAAAUCCCAGGGCUCAACCUUGGAACUGCAUUUUUAACUGCCGAGCUAGAGUAUGUCAGAGGGGGGUAGAAUUCCACGUGUAGCAGUGAAAUGCGUAGAUAUGUGGAGGAAUACCGAUGGCGAAGGCAGCCCCCUGGGAUAAUACUGACGCUCAGACACGAAAGCGUGGGGAGCAAACAGGAUUGGAUACCCUGGUAGUCCACGCCCUA
rnacentral:rRNA from 1 species